rnacentral:lncRNA from 1 species
AAUUUAUUAAGAUUAAGAAAUAGCAUACAAACAUAACAUACAAUAAUAACAAUUAUUAUUAUUACCAAAAACAUAUUACUAACAACCAAUCUAUCGAGUAUAUAGAAACACGUACAGUUUUUCUAAAGUGUUUCAUGAAAUGCAAAAAGGAGCACUUUUUCUUCAUGAAAAUAACUUGAAAUAGCUGCAAUUCUUUUCUAAACUUUAUGAAAAUAAAACUACAAAUAAAACUGCGGGUGUUUGCUCGUAAAAUAAUUAACCAAUAUAAUUUUAUGAAGAUUAAGUAAUAGCAUACAUAUAUAACGUAAAAAAUAAAUAACUUUUAUCAUAAUCAUCAUAAAAGGUGCAUCAGAAGUCUUUUCUUGUUUAUACCUUCAUACGAAUCCUCAUACUCAAGCAUACUCAAGUACAAAGCCAACAUAUUGAAGUAAAAUCCAGUCUGAGGUAGACUUUUCAUGAGAAAGAUCUUAUAGAAUAUUUAUUUCGUACGUUGCUAUAGUACAAUAAUGACGUUUAUAAGAUAGAAUACUAUGUGUUGAGGUUUUGGUUUCAGUUGUUUUAAUCAUAUUUUAUGAUUAUCUUUCUUGAUUUUAGCUUCAUCAGAAACAACCAUAGACUAAAUUUGAACUUUUGAAAAAGUCUUUAAAAAGGGUCAAUUUUACCUGAGAAGCAAUACCAUCAUCUAGAAUUU